rnacentral:tRNA from 1 species
GCCCCUAUAGCUCAGUUGGUAGAGCAACGGACUCUUAAUCCGUUUGUCCAAGGUUCGAGCCCUUGUGGGGGUA